rnacentral:rRNA from 1 species
AGAGUUUGAUCAUGGCUCAGAUUGAACGCUGGCGGCAGGCUUAACACAUGCAAGUCGAGCGGAGAGAGGUAGCUUGCUACUGAUCUUAGCGGCGGACGGGUGAGUAAUGCUUAGGAAUCUGCCUAUUAGUGGGGGACAACAUUUCGAAAGGAAUGCUAAUACCGCAUACGUCCUACGGGAGAAAGCAGGGGAUCUUCGGACCUUGCGCUAAUAGAUGAGCCUAAGUCGGAUUAGCUAGUUGGUGGGGUAAAGGCCUACCAAGGCGACGAUCUGUAGCGGGUCUGAGAGGAUGAUCCGCCACACUGGGACUGAGACACGGCCCAGACUCCUACGGGAGGCAGCAGUGGGGAAUAUUGGACAAUGGGCGCAAGCCCGAUCCAGCCAUGCCGCGUGUGUGAAGAAGGCCUUAUGGUUGUAAAGCACUUUAAGCGAGGAGGAGGCUACUUUAGAUAAUACCUAGAGAUAGUGGACGUUACUCGCAGAAUAAGCACCGGCUAACACUGUGCCAGCAGCCGCGGUAAUACAGAGGGUGCAAGCGUUAAUCGGAUUUACUGGGCGUAAAGCGCGCGUAGGCGGCUAAUUAAGUCAAAUGUGAAAUCCCCGAGCUUAACUUGGGAAUUGCAUUCGAUACUGGUUAGCUAGAGUGUGGGAGAGGAUGGUAGAAUUCCAGGUGUAGCGGUGAAAUGCGUAGAGAUCUGGAGGAAUACCGAUGGCGAAGGCAGCCAUCUGGCCUAACACUGACGCUGAGGUGCGAAAGCAUGGGGAGCAAACAGGAUUAGAUACCCUGGUAGUCCAA